rnacentral:lncRNA from 1 species
UUUCUCUCCUCCUGUUUGCUUGACCACACACAGCAACCAGGGGAGACCCAGGAUAAUUUUGGCCUUAGGGAAGAUGUGGGUGCAGUUUGACAACUUGCAGACAGGAAAUAAAACCAUUCUUUUGUGAGUGCCCAGGGCCGGCAUACAGGUCUUACCAAGGAAUGAGGAAGGGGGAAGUAUCUUCACAACUUUUCCUGUUAUUUUUCACCAUUCAGGAGGGGAAAACCUUGUUAUUAGGGAGAAACUGGGCUUCCAGCCUUGCUAGUUCCUUUCUUUCCCCUCAUGAACCAUGUAUUUGUUAACUUCUCCGGUUUUUCCUUCUCUGUGCUCCAAAACUCCUUCUAGCUCCAGAUUCCCUUGCGCAGAGUUAAUGCAGCGAUGCCCUUGACUUCCACACAGAGACAACUUUAAAUGCCAAAUGGCUGUAAAUUGUGCAGAUUUGCCUCUGGUGUGUUCCAAAAUGAGAUCCUUUCUGCUAGAACAAGAAGUGUCAGCAGGUCCUAAAUCAAAUGUGUGGCCUGGGCUUUCUACCGACCACAAGAAUGGAAAUUGCAUUCGGUGAGGCAAAAAUCGACAUUUCUCCAGCCAGCUGCUCACUGCAAAUUUUGUCCUAGUCAGAGAUAACAAAGAUUUAUUCUCUUAUUUGUUUGCAAUUACUUUGCAAGGCCUGCUAGAAAUUUGUCACAGAGGCUAUGAUACAGAGGCAGGAAUGCCAGAUGAGGAUGAGGAUAAGGAUGAUGCCAUGCAGUCCUAUUGCAGCACAGGUGCAUGACUGGGCUUCAGUAAGAGAAUCACAGAAUCAUCCAUUCACAGAACCACAGAAUGGUUUGGGUAGAAAGGGACCUUAAAGCUCAUUUUCAGGCAUUGCAUAGGAAAAACUGGGUUUUUCCUCUUCAACUUCCUGCACUGGAAUCUAUAAAGAUCUUUUGACUUGUAUCUUGAAAAGUUGUUGGAUUUGUCCCGUAAUCAGUGAUUGCAAAAUCUGGUUUUAUACACAUUUCACAUAGAAUUCACAUAGAGUUUCUCUUUGAAGGGGUAUGAGAUAUAUUUUUCUGUGAUGUCAUAUCAAAGAAAUUUUGACACACCUCCAUGCAGGACCAUGCCAUAAAUCAUAAUUUCUCAUUCAUCCAGGCAAAACCCCAUGGAUUUGGGGUUUACUUACACUAGAAUUAGCUACAAAUAAUGCUCAUCCUUUCCAUGAAAUUAUUUAAGCCUGCAUAAACAAUGACAGGUCCUGCUUGUUGCUUAUUGACAUAAAUAAUUUCAUUUUUCUCCUGAAUCAUAGUCCAACACUCUGUGGAAAGUCUUCCCUUCUAACCACUCAGCUCCCCCUUGUCUGUACCACACAUUCCUGGUGGCAAUCUCCCACAAGAAGUCUUAACCACCAGACUACAAGAAAAUAAAUCAGUUUUGGGUUGCUGAUAAGGCAGUCCUGAUGUGAAAGACCUUUAAAAAGGGAGGGCAGUUAAACUUUGCCCCUCUGCUGAGCCUCUCUUGGGCUACUCUUUGCUUCCCUCUUCCUCCCAAAUGCUACUCCAUAUUUUUUUUGGAGGACAGAAGCAAGUUCUAGGCAAAGCCAAGUGUGGAUGGAGGAGUCCAAAGAGAGCUGAAGAUGUGAAAGCCAAAUUUCCAACAGACUAUUUUGAACUGCUCCAUGGCUGCCCAUGCCCACACUGGGUUCUGUGCCCAGAGCCUGGUUCCAGGUGUGUCUGUGUUGAAUGUGGAGCCAUGGCCUUGGAUCAGAGCCUGAGCUCUGCUCUCCAAGAAGCUUCUGGGCUUUUUUUCUUCCGUAAUCACGGUCUAGGUCUGGAAAGAAAUCCUGCAAUUGGCCCACCCACGGGAUGGAGCAAUGCCUGGGGCUGGGAUAUGAAGCCACAGUAAGUUUUUUGGUCCUUCAGGUGCAAGUGUGAGUUCAGGUGGUCUGAGGAGUUCUCUGAACAGGAGAUGUUGCAAGGUGGCCUUUCAUAAUGUGACCCCGAGGCAAAGGAACAGCCAUAAGUCAAAUUUCCCAAUAUUUGGGAAGGGACUUUAAUGUUACUCAAGUGCAGGUUUUGUAUGUGAAUUUCCUUGUUGACCCAUUUUCUUAACAACAAUUUUUAAAGCAAAAAAAAAAGUCAAGGAGCUUACCAAAACCAAACCUCUCAUCCAGCUCAGAAAGCCAUUCUAUGUCUUUAGACAGACUAUGUGGUAGAUCAUAUUUUCUAAAAAUACAUUUUGUUUCAAAUACUGCUUAAUAGGUCCAAAUAAAUUUUGCAGGGUCAUUGCUAUUUAUGGAUAAAUAGGUAUAUUUUUACAUUUUUAAUUGAUUUUUAAGAUUUUAAAUUAUGUGAAUUUUUAGAAAAAGUUUGUAUAAUCUACCUGAGAAGCCAGAGCAUCACCUCAGAUACAAAUGCUCUCCUUCCAGAUAAUUGCCCAAGAGGAAAAAUAAACACCUUCACUCAUACUUUUCCGAAGAGGGAGCUACUGGAAACCUCAUUUUCCCAAUAUUCUCAGACCACUGUGGUCACAGCAACAUUAUUGCUAAGACAAAAAUAUAAGUAUUAAAAGAGAAACUGAAAUUCCUAGGGAAUUUACCCAAAGUUGUCCCAUACAAAGACCCAUAAUAGUGAGUAUUUUAUUGGGAAUGUUAAAAAGCCCAGGAGCAGGAUAAAGAUUUCUGUUUCUCCAUCAUGUGAACGCUCAGGCUGAGCAAACCCUGAGCCUCCAACCCUUUCUUCCCAACCCACAGCUGCACGUCCACAUCCUCUCCAUCCUCUCUCCAUCACAGCUCAGCCUCUUCUGUUCUCAUCAGCUUCCUUUUCCUGAGCCACAAACAAGGAAAUCAGAUACAAAAGCUCCUUCAGCUGCAGGUAGUAUUGAGGAGAAGGCUGUGGGGAGGGCUGAGGGCAGCAGCCCCUCCGAGCCCUGCAGGGUCACUGCUGCUCAGAGGUGUAAAAGCAAACCCUUGCUUUUAGCACACAAACACCCCGACUUUUCUGCCUCACAGAGCAAAACCUGCUCCGUGCAGGGGUGUGGAUUCACUGUUUUUUUUAACACUAACAAUAGGGUGGGUUUUUAAUAAUAAGGAUAAUACUACUGCAUAGGAAUCUUCUUUAGUAUAUCUUAGUGUUUGAUGCCCCAGUGACACAAUACUGCUUGCCUUACCUUAGUGUCUAGAGGGAGAGGGAUCACACACCUUUUGAUACACUAUUAGUCACGCUUUGAAUUUAGGUAGCAGUGGGAACCUUUUUAACUUAUGAAUGUGCUUUCUGGACUAUCUCACUGACUGUACUCUCAAUUUUGCCUGCUACUGCAUGCAGCCUGAGAUGAGUAGACAGCAAUAUGCUCCAGCUGUAUCUGCACUCCCAGAUUGCUGUAGUACCUGACAAGGUAACGUUGCCAAAAGCAUCACUCUGGGGAGAGGCUGUGCUCCCAGGGAGCCGCCUCGCAGGGUGCUGCGGUGCUUCUGUAGGUAACACUGAUAUACCAAGUGUCUUUCAUGCUGCAACUGGUCAUCACCCCAUCCCUCUGAUACAGCAUGCACAGACUCCAUUUCUACUGCUUGUGACUACGGGGUAAAAACCCCCAUGUUUGUACCUCUGGGUCCUUCAAAUGUGUAAAUGGGGAGGAAAAAGAUACCAAUUGUGUUGGCUGUGUGUCACAACCUCCUUUCCCUCUGGAUGCCUCUGAAAAAGAGCAUCCCAGACAGCCCUUGCUGUGGGUUUGGAGGAGCAGGCAGUGCCAAGGAUGGAGGCCUGGUCUUCAUUUCAAAGAUGCCAUUUGAACCCACGUGUGUGGGACCUGCCAUAUGUCUGGUUUAAUUCCCACAGGAUUCUCUCACCUGCAUCCAGCCCUGGGGGGCCAUGUGCUUUUGUGCCUGCAGCACAGCUCGAGGUGCAGGGGAGAAGGUGACUUCCAAACCUUGGAAGCCACUCUUUGGAAAUUCCACCCACCCUUUCCUACAGCCUCGGUGGUCUCGGGCACCCUGCAACUGUGCCAUAACCAUUCCUCAUGGAAGCAUCUCUCACUCGCCUUACAGACUGGCACUGAGCUACAUUUUCAUCUCCAUUAAUACUUUGCCAGUGUUCUCCCCACUGCAAUACCAGCCUGUCAUGAGGCGUUCAGGGUUUGCCCAUCUUGCUGGUGUUUGCAGUCCCUCAUAUCUCUUGGCACUGCUGCCAUGACUGGGUUUGACCCUGGCCCCAUAUCCUCCCCUUCCUUGCCCAGACUACUUACCAGGGAAGCUGUAACACCAGAACUCUGCUCUGAGACUCGGCCUGGCAUCACCAGAUGCACCAGAGAGCCUUUGUGUUUUGUUAACAUGACAGUUUUUCUUUAUAUUGGCCGGGGAUGGGGUCUGUGCUGUCUCUCUGAGCCCUGUGAGGGUUUAUCCCCGUGGCUUUAGCUGAUUAAAGUGACACAGGGAUGAGGUCUGGCUCAAGUUUUCCUGUCCAGGUGAAUAUUUCUGAGGAGAGCUCACAGGCUUUACCAGUGUAGACGUUUUUUCUCCCUGAAGCAAGAGCUGAUUUCAAGACCCUUGUCCCUUUGGCAACCCACAAUGUGGCUGUGCAUGCCAGGCUCCAGCUCGGUAAUGGGGAGAACUGGAAAGCAGCUGGUCCAAGCUGUGCUGUUUCCAAAGCUGCCAAUGAACCUGGAAGCAUUCUGCCCUCUCCUAAUUCCUGUAAAUACAGCUGCAGGUGGAUUGUUCAAGCAGCAUCUGUUUGCCUGGUUCUGAGAAACCACAAGGCUUUUCAAAGCUCAGUGCCAAGCCCAGGCUGGAUUUCACCUGCAGCUAUGCCUAUAAUUUUAGGGCAGGGUUAAUGAUUUCAGGUAGAAGCCAUGCCAGAGCCUCCAGUUUGGAUGGUUCUGACCCCAAAACAAGGCUGAAUGUCACGCUGCCAGCAAAGCCUCUGCUGGAAUUUCAGCUCCAUUUGACAGUGAUGACUGUGGACGUGGAGAGAUGUUCUCUCUUUCCUACUCCACACAAGAAAAGCUCAGCACAAGCCUUGCAAGCCACAAUGGGAAAAUACCUCCUUAUUUUAACAUGCCAUGGGCACCUCUUUAAAGCAAAAGCAGCAUUUCACAGUAAUUGCUUAAACUUGACCAACACAGUGGCCAUGACCCAGUGUUUUCCAUAUGCAGUGAUGCCCAUGAAAAGGAUUGAUCACAGAUUUGGAUGUGGAGGUCUUGGUUCUUCAGCCUCUCCACAGACACCAUGUUUAGCCUUGCUGAGAACCUGAGGACAAGUCAUCAAGGCUGGUGACAGGUCUUUUCUGUCCUGCCUGCUUAUUCACACUGGUCCAGUAUCUUCCCUGGAGCUGGAGUUACCCCAUGCUCCUGUCAGCAGAGAGGAUGGAAACCUUUCUUUGUUGGUUACUCUUCCCUCCCCCAAAAAACACUAAAAUUUGAAGUGUCUUCACUUUUUCUCAAAAAAUUCACGCACAGUGUAGAAUACCUGAGACUUUCAGGAACACCAAGGCAAAAGAAGAUAUAGCUGAAAAAUGACAGAGAUUUUGUUAUUUUAAAUCAAGAGCAGAUUUUAAACAUAGCUACAGUUGCUGCGUGGUGUAUCAAAUGCUUUAGGAGAUUCAAUAAAUUAUUCUUAUAAAUGUUUUAUUCUUUUAUCAGUAAUUCAUAUAGGUGGGUGCCACUGUUCUUAUACAGCAACAACGCUCCACACUAAAACUGUAUUCCUGUUUCUCCAAUAUAGACACUGUAUUUAUGAAAUUUAUCUCGCUUGGUGUCACUUUGGCACAUUAUCCACAUGUACUGCACACAGAUUGCACAUUACAUGCCACGUGCUGAUAGGUAUCUCUACAUGUAAUCAACCUAUGUGUGUUGAAGAGACACUAAAGUGUCACCUGCCUGGUUUGUGAUGUGACUCCACAUAACUGGGAAAAGGGAAAAAAUGAACAUCCUGUUUUGUUAAGAAAUUCACUGCAUUUGAAUGCUUCUUUAAACAGAUUUUAUCAGGAAGCUAAAAUACCAGAUUGUGAUGUUAACUAAAAAAUACCUGAACAAAACGAACACACGCAGCCCAUAAAUACUUAACAACUACUGUAUUCCUACAUAUUCUUCAUUGCUAUUCAUCUGAACUGUAAAUUCUGUACAGAUUGAAUGAAGCUCACAGUUUAUCUUUGUCAUAACCUGUAAGAUAAAAGGACAACACAACUUUGGCUGCAGAAGCGUGUGCAUGUGGUUCGAGUACAUGCACCACGUGUGGCUGUAUGUACAUGUGGGUAUGAACACGUGUGCACACGUGUUCUUUAUCAAAACAGAUAAAGCUGCAUCUGAGAUGCACAGGGGGAAGAAAAGUUCUGUUUUGGAGGUGAGACAGUGGGUAAAAUAAAACCAAAUUACUUUUCCAAUAAUUUGUCUCGGUCAAAAAGGAAGAUUUGCAGAGGGGAUUGGUGUGUGACUGCCAUCCCAAGGAGAAUUCCCACUUCUGAAGGCAGCACAGGCCAUGCAGCAGAGCCAUGCAGUUCUUUGAGUGAUAAUUUCUUUGGCUUCCUUUCAAACAAACAAAUAUAAGAGUGGCCAGUGCCAACUUCAAGUCCAAAAAGCCCAUUCCUAAGAUGUGUGGCCAAGCAGUUGUCCAGUGCCUUUGGAGAUCCAAGGGCAAAGUCUUUACGUGCUGUGCCAGGGUGUCCCACGGCAGCGGCGCUGACUGAGGGCAGUGCCAGGGUCUCCCACAAACCUACUGCCCAAGCAGAGGAUCCCAAUGCCCCAUGGGUCUUACCUUUGCCUAUAUUUAAAAAGCCCCUAGGUAAGAGAUGUUUAAGAAAAUAAAUAUUAAAAGCUCAUGUUUGAUCUUAGAGUUAUGGAAGAAAGGACCAUGUUAUAACCAAUAAAUCUGAUUUUCCAAGGAGGUCAGCCCAUAGACUCCAAUAGCCCCCAUUCAGAGAUUUCACCAGCCUCACCAAAUGAAUCAUCCUCUAGCACUGAAUUUUGCCAAUAUUUUCACAGAUACAAGAUUUAUAUUGGCUAGAGCUUACCCUUCAGUGUUUAAUCUAAAUAAACAAAGGCAUGAAGAGGUAACUUUUCUGGUUUAAUAUAACUGGAUGCCUUGAAUAAAUAGUGAUCAAAUUUUUGCAUUGGCCUGAAAUUCAUCUCUGGGUCCAAAGUUCUCAGCUGCAAGAGCUGCUUCAGCCCAAAAUAGGUUACUGAGCAAAGGGUACAUCCAUUGCUGGAGUGUGUGCCGCUUCCCUGAGACACCUUGACACUACCAUGGCUUACAACAGCACCUGGCUCAUUUGGCCUUACCUGGGCUAAAAAUGGUUCAUGUUUUUGUCCUGACAGUGAGAGCUGAGAGGUGAAUUUCCCACCGGGAAGCUCCGGGGCUGGCUGAGCCGGGAAGUUUGGUUGUCCUUUAGAAAGCAAAGACAGCUGCUGCUUUGCUUCCUUUCAUUUGCUCUGUUGCCUUGGCUUUCUUGCACUUUCGUUUCAUCUCCAAAGAAUCUCUCAUAAUGCCUUUGGUACUUAUGUACAAUUUGAAAACAUUUUGUAUGUAUGGAAUGACACACACUUUUUUCCUGUAAAAUAGCAAUCGGAUUUUCUUUUCUCUCUUCUUUUUUUUUUUUUUCCCUUUUUUUUUCUGUUGGUGAAUGUGUAAUUUCCUCUGUACAUUUCAAUCAUGACUUUGUGCAAUGUACAUUUUAUAGGGACAGGUGCCAAGGGAAUGACCUGUAGUUUUCCUAAGGGACUUGCUGGAAGCUGACAGACAGUCAUACAUGGUUUUACAUGAGCACCGUGGAAAAGCAACAUAGCCCAGACUUUGACACUGAAGCACUGAGCGUGGGUCAGCUUGUACCUUCACAGGAAUGACUGUGGCAGCUGCAAAACUCUUUAUGUGUGGUGUGAAAACCAACAGCGACGGUUGCGACCGGAAGGGAAAUGGAGGAAAAUUAAAUAAUCACAAUCAUUAAUUUAAGCCUCGAAGCAUCAGAAUGGAAAAUUUGCAUUCAGUAAAAAUACCAGAGAUUUAACCUUCAUGAGAUGAAAUAC